rnacentral:ncRNA from 1 species
CAGGAGUUUGAUUCUAACUCAUCAAAUUUGCUUUAAAGUAAUUUUAACAUGUAAAUUUUUGUGUGAUACGCAUGAAUUCUAAAAGGGGAUAUUAAAUGUUCGCAGUUUUUUGUUUUGAUUUUUAGGAAAUUCUAGAAUUAGUUAAUUUUAUGAGCUUUGACUCAGAAUUGUGCCAGCAGUCGCGGUUAUACAAUUGAAGCAAGUAAAUUUUUUCGAUCUGUAUUUGAUGUUUUUGUUUUUAUGUAAUUUUUAGAUUUUUAGGUGGAAUUAUUAUUUGAUGUAAUAUAAUUAAUUGUGAUUGAAAUACGAAAGUUCAAUAUAAGACUAGGAUUAGAUACCCUAUUAUUAUGAAUUGUAAAAUUAGUGAUCUUAGUAUUAAUAGUUUAGAUCUUUAAAUUAAAAGAAUUUGGCGGUAAUUUAGUCUUUUCAGAGGAACCUGCCCUGUAAUUGAUAAUCCACGAUAAAUUUUACUUUAUCUUUGUUUGUAUACCUCUGUCAUUGAAUGUUUUAUUAGGAUAUUUUCUUUAAUUUUUAUGAAUUUAAUGUCAGGUCAAGGUGCAGCUGUGAUAAAGAAGAGGUGGGUUACAUUGAAUUUAUUUAUGGAGAUAAAUAUGUAAAUUUUAUUGAAAUAGGAUUUGAAAGUAAGUUUUAUUAGAAUAUAGAAUUGAUUUUAGCUCUAAAUUAUGUACACAUCGCCCGUCACUCUCAUUUAAUUAAAGGUGAGAUAAGUCGUAACAAAGUAGGUUUAUCGGAAGAUGGGCCUAGAAAGAUUUUAU